UAGUCAUACCCUUGUCUCAAAGAUUAAGCCAUGCAUGUCUAAGUAUAACUCUUUAUACGGGAAAACUGCGAAUGGCUCAUUAUAUCAGUUAUAGUUUAUUUGAUAGUACCUUACUACUUGGAUAACCGUAGUAAUUCUAGAGCUAAUACAUGCGUCAAAGGGAGACUUCGGAAUCCCUGUAUUUAUUAGAUCCGAACCAACGGCGGGGCAACCCGUGUUUUUGGUGAUUCAUAAUAACUUCGCGGAUCCCAUGGCCUUGCGCCGGGGACAAAUCAUUCAAGUUUCUGCCCUAUCAGCUUUCGAUGGUAGUGUAUUGGACUACCAUGGCGUUAACGGGUAACGGAGAAUUAGGGUUCGAUUCCGGAGAGGGAGCCUGAGAAACGGCUACCACAUCCAAGGAAGGCAGCAGGCGCGUAAAUUACCCAAUCCUGACACAGGGAGGUAGUGACAAGAAAUAACAAAGCAGGCGCUUACUGCGUUCUGCUAUUGGAAUGAGUUAAUUUUAAAUCACUUUUCGACUAUCCAUUGGAGGGCAAGUCUGGUGCCAGCAGCCGCGGUAAUUCCAGCUCCAAUAGCGUAUAUUAAAGUUGUUGCGGUAAAAAAGCUCGUAGUUGGAUUUCUGUUGAGGAUGACCGGUCCGCACCACGUGCGCGCAUCUGGUUCAGCCUCGGCAUCUUUCCGGAAAACGGCUUCGCGCUUAAUUGCGUGGAACGGGGUUCGGAACUUUUACUUUGAGGAAAUUAGAGUGUUCACGGCAGGCUAUCGCCAGAAUACAUUAGCAUGGAAUAAUACUAUAGGAUCUCGAUUCUAUUUUGUUGGUUUCUAGAGUUGGGAUAAUGAUUAAUAGGGACAAUUGGGCGCAUUCGUAUCGACACGUCAGAGGUGGAAUUCUUGGAUUGUGUUGCGACGAACUACUGCGAAAGCAUUUGCCAAGGAUGUUUUCAUUGAUCAAGAACGAAAGUAAGGGGAUCGAAGACGAUUAGAUACCGUCGUAGUCUUUACCAUAAACUAUGCCAACUAGAGAUGGGACAUGUAUAUUUAUGACUUGUUCCGCACCUUAUGAGAUAUCAAAGUCUUUGGGUUCCGGGGGGAGUAUGGUCGCAAGGCUGAAACUUAAAGGAAUUGACGGAAGGGCACCACCAGGAGUGGAGCCUGCGGCUUAAUUUGACUCAACACGGGGAAACUCACCAGGUCCAGACAUAAUAAGGAUUGACAGAUUGAUAGCUCUUUCUUGAUUUUAUGGGUGGUGGUGCAUGGCCGUUCUUAGUUCGUGGAGUGAUUUGUCUGCUUAAUUGCGUUAACGAACGAGACCUUAACCUGCUAAAUAGAAGCGCAUAUCUUCGGAUAAGCGCCUUUCUUCUUAGAGGGACUUUGUGCGAUUAGCGCAGGGAAGUUUGAGGCUAAAACAGGUCUGUGAUGCCCUUAGAUGUUCUGGGCUGCACGCGCGCUACACUGAUGCGUUCAACGAGUGUACAACCUUGCCCGAUAGGGUUGGGUAAUCUUUUGAGCACGCAUCGUGAUGGGGAUAGAUUAUUGCAAUUAUUAAUCUUCAACGAGGAAUUCCUAGUAAUGAUGAAUCAUCAGUUCAUCGUGAUUACGUCCCUGCCCUUUGUACACACCGCCCGUCGCUCCUACCGAUUGAGCAAUCCGGUGAAUAUUUCGGACCGUUGCUAAUCUCACGAGCAGCUUCGGAAAGUCAAGUAAACCUUAUUGCUUAGAGGAAGGAGAGGUCGUAACAAGGUUUCCGUAG
rnacentral:rRNA from 1 species